rnacentral:rRNA from 1 species
AUUGAACGCUGGCGGCAGGCCUAACACAUGCAAGUCGAGCGGAUGAAGGGAGCUUGCUCCUGGAUUCAGCGGCGGACGGGUGAGUAAUGCCUAGGAAUCUGCCUGGUAGUGGGGGAUAACGUCCGGAAACGGGCGCUAAUACCGCAUACGUCCUGAGGGAGAAAGUGGGGGAUCUUCGGACCUCACGCUAUCAGAUGAGCCUAGGUCGGAUUAGCUAGUUGGUGGGGUAAAGGCCUACCAAGGCGACGAUCCGUAACUGGUCUGAGAGGAUGAUCAGUCACAGUGAAACUGAGACACGGUACAGACUCCUACGGGAGGCAGAAGUGGGGAAUAUUGGAAAAUGGGGGAAAGCCUGAUCCAGCCAUGCCGCGUGUGUGAAGAAGGUCUUCGGAUUGUAAAGCACUUUAAGUUGGGAGAAAGGGCAGUAAGUUAAUACCUUGCUGUUUUGACGUUACCAACAGAAUAAGCACCGGCUAACUUCGU